rnacentral:rRNA from 1 species
UGGGGGAUAUUGCACAAUGGGCGAAAGCCUGAUGCAGCGACGCCGCGUGGGGGAUGAAGGCCUUCGGGUUGUAAACUUCUUUUGCUCUGAACAAGGCAUGCUAAUGGGUGUGUUGAGUGUAGGGGUUGAUUAGCGCCGGCUAACUACGUGCCAGCAGCCGCGGUAAUACGUAGGGCGCGCGCGUUGUCCGGAAUUAUUGGGCGUAAAGGGCUUGUAGGUGGCUGGUUGCGUCUGUCGUGAAAGCUCAUGGCUUAACUGUGGGUUUGCGGUGGGUACGGGCUGGCUUGAGUGCAGUAGGGGAGGCUGGAAUUCCUGGUGUAGCGGUGGAAUGCGCAGAUAUCAGGAGGAAUACCGGUGGCGAAGGCGGGUCUCUGGGCUGUUACUGACACUGAGGAGCGAAAGCAUGGGGAGCGAACAGG